rnacentral:lncRNA from 1 species
UUUUUUCUCUUUUUGCUUUUUCUUUUUAAAUUUUGGCCGCCGUCCUCGGAGCGGGCCUCUCUGCCCGAGCCCGGCACGCUGGCUGUCCCUCCGUUUCCCACGGAGCCCCGCGGGCGCCGGCCGGGGAGCGGGCCGAGGGUGGGGGAGCCAGCAGAGUUCCAUUUUGGAAGCCCGCGCUCGUCUCCGCGCGCCCAGCCCGGGUCCCCGCGUCCGCGCGCCCCCAGCCCCGGCGCCGCAGGUCCCGAAGCCCUGGCUGCUCCCAGAGUGCAUCUGUCAGAAGAUUCCCAGGAUGUGAGCCACACAAGUGUGGUCUCCCUGGGGCCGGGCUGCGGGCUCAGCCUGGGGAGCAGGAACACGGGAGGACUCCGGCUCCGUCCUCCAGGGCUCGCGGGACAGUGAAGACAGCACUACCUACCACCUGUCACGUUAUGCCAUGCAGACCGUGGGAAAACGCCAGUGCGCGGCCCCGUGGCAGGGCCUCAGCCUCCUCUUGGCUAGUGGUG